GAUGAACGCUGGCGGGGUGCCUAAUACAUGCAAGUCGAGCGAAGCGGGGACGGGUGAGUAACACGUGGAUAACCUCCUAUAAGACUGGGGUAACUUCGGGAAACCGGAGCUAAACCGGAAACUUAGAGAUGGAUCCGCGCUGCAUUAGCUAGUUGGUAAGGUAACGGCUUACCAAGGCAACGAUGCAUAGCCGACCUGAGAGGAUGAUCAGCCACACUGGAACUGAGACACGGUCCAGACUCCUACGGGAGGCAGCAGUGGGGAAUCUUCCACAAUGGGCGAAAACCUGAUCGAGCAACGCCGCGUGAGUGAUGAAGGUCUUCGGAUCGUAAAACUCUGUUAUUAGGGAAGCGGUACCUACUGAGUAAGCCCCGGCUAACUACGUGCCAGCAGCCGCGGUAAUUC
rnacentral:rRNA from 1 species